rnacentral:lncRNA from 1 species
AAAAAAAUAAUAAUAAUUCUUUGUUUUAUUUUAAUUUCCCUUUAUGAAAUGGUUUUAUUUUCUAGCUGCUGUUACAGUCAUGAGGACUGAAAAAUUUUGAAUUCCUGUAAUAUGAAAGCUCAAAUUCCCAUCUAAUCACUUGUUUCCCAGAGCCAGACCAACUUUCGGGAGACGAUCAAAGAACUGCUGGAGAGGGACCUGAGUGCCAGACACAGAGGACAAUGCCUGGGUCUAUAUUGCUCUAUCUGAUAAUAACCAGAUUAUAGCUCCACAAUCCCAACAAAGAGACACAAGCAGUAUGAAGAAAGAGGAAGAUUCUUUCUCUGCUGAAGGACUGAAUGCACAAUCAUCUGCAAGCUUUGUAUAGCUGCCUUCCCUAAUCCCAGAGUCAAGCUAGCCUUCUGUUGGAUAGGAACACAUACACUUGAAGGAGUCCAACCCAAAGAGAAAUACCCAAAAGGAUGAACAGGAAUCCACUUUUUCUGAUGUCUCUGUCUGUCAGCAAACUGCAGAAGCACACAGUUUUCCAUCCUCACGGACGAAGAGCAGAAGCCCUCUUCUGCUUCUUUCUGCAUGAUAAUGGAGGACCCAGAUGCAAUUCUUUUUGCUUGAGAGGGAAAAAGAAUUUGCAAUGCCAGCACUAUCCUGGUUCUUUACCCACUACCAAGAAGCUUGAGAAGUAACAGGAGGAUCAGUGUGUCAUCCAUUAUGCUGAAGCAUUGCUACUAUUUUCAGUUGUAUAACACCUCCUGUAUGCAUGCAAUAAGGAGGAAAUGGAUCUCCCUCAUCUCAUCAUUCAAGCUUGAUAUGUACAUAUGCAUGUAUGAGAUAAGGAAAUCUUGGUUUUAGAAAUAUAUCUUCAGAAAAUAAUACCGCACACUAGCACUGGGCUUCUUCAGAAGACAUUUCUUAUGACAAAGUGGUAACAAACAUGACGCUGUCCAUGGAAUCACUGAAUCGUUGAGGCUGGAAGGGACCUCUGGAGAUCAUCUGCUGAAGCAGGGUCACCAAGAGCAGAUUGCCCAGGAUUGUGUCUGGUUGGGCUUAGAAUAUCUUCAAGGAUGGAGACUCCAUAGCCUCUUUGGGCAACCUGGUCCAAUGUUCAACUACCCU